ACAAUAAUUAUAUAUAAAUAAUAAAUAAAUUAUGAAUUUUCAAAAAUUAUAUUAAAUUAUAAUAAAUGAAAUACAAUGUCUCAUUGUGAAGAAGAAGUGGCAUCAUCUGGUUUUCACCAACUAAGUAUUACGAUUGAAGGUGCUAUACUAAGGAGUUCAACAUUUUUAAAACCUAAUCCUUACAUAGAAUUUUCUGUUGAUGAUAAAAGUCCUCGAAAGACAGAAGUUUCAAAAUCUACAUAUCAACCAAAAUGGAACGAGGAAUUUACAAUACUUGUGACCCCAUAUUCACAACUACAUUUUCGCUUGUUGGAUCAUAGCACAUUUCGGAAAGAUACAUUAAUAGGGGAGAAGAAAAUAAAUCUCUCCCAAGUAUUAUCUCACUACAAUGGAAAAUUAGAAAAUAUGGAAGUAACAUUUGAUUUAAUGAGUGAAAAUAAACAUGAUUCUCAGUUAUGUAAGGUUGGAGAAUUGAUAACAGUAUUUGAUGGAUUAAAAAUUAAUAUGUCAAAUACACCAUCAUUAAGUGUCAAUGAACCACAAUGUCAAACACAAUAUAUAUCUUUUGAUGGUGUUACAAGUAAUGAUACUGUUAGCAACAGUAGCAUUCUUAAUGGAGGAAUUCGUGCUCGCAUGAGAUUACAUGGAGUUAAACAUGUUGCAUCAUCUACUUUCCAUGGAUUAACAAAUUCUAAUUAUAAUAGUGGAAGUGAUCAAACUAGUGUUAAUAAGGAUAAUGAACAAAUUGAGCCUGUGGCAUCAAAUUCUUUAUCAAAUGGACAUGCAGUAUCACCUAUGGACAAAUCUGUUAAUUUGCCAGGUCGUUACACAGUAUCCUUACCGGAUGGACGCCAGAUGUCUCGAAUAGAUCAUACAUCAGCUAGUACAGCCGAAGGAAGAGUUGGUCCCUGUGCUGAACAGUUUUCAAAAAUUUCGAUCUCGGAAGGUCGGAAUAUUCCGCAAAUUGAACAGUCAACAGUACACCCUGGAGUACUUGGAAUUUCUAGAUCAGAUCAGUUAGCCACAACUAAUAUGGAUAUGUGUUCGCAUAAUAGAACAGAACAGUCUGCUUCCAGUGAUCGUAAUUCUCGACUAGAACAAUCGAUAACUCCUCUUUCAGAUAAUUGUGGAGCUAUGAGAUCAGAUCAAGCUACUAUUCCAUUAGAUGAAUGUAUACUUUCUAGAAUAGAUCAACCUAGAAAUGCUGUUUUAACAGAUAACCAAGUAAACUCUCAACCAGAACAAUCGGUAGUAUUUACAGUACCAGAUGGUUCUAAUUUGGAGCAAUCUGCAUUAUUUCUUAUGGCGGAUAGUCAUGACAUCGUACGUUUAGAUCAAUCUGCAACAUUACCCACAGCGGAAUCGCGCCGUAUUCCUCAUAUUGAUCAGUCUGCAACGUCUACGUCAGCUGCUCAUUCAAAUCCUAGAAUGAUGCAACGUGUUGCUUCUUUAACAGGACAAACUGCUGUAAUACCUAGUCAGUCAACUCAGUCUGGCUCUUCAAUAUUACUUGCUGAAGUUGACCAUACAAAUCAUUCUGAAGAACCUUUACCUCCUGGUUGGGAAAUGAGAUACGACAUUUAUGGAAGAAGGUAUUAUGUUGACCAUAAUACUCGAAGUACUUCUUGGGAAAGACCUCAGCCUUUACCACCAGGGUGGGAAGUUCGUAGAGAUCCAAGGGGUAGAAUUUAUUAUGUAGAUCAUAACACAAGAAGCACAACGUGGCAAAGACCAAAUACAGAAAGAUUACAACAUUUCCAACACUGGCAAGGUGAAAGACAACACGUGGUACAACAAGGUAACCAACGGUUUCUUUAUUCUCAAGGAUAUGGAAAUCAAACAGCUAUGCCAGGGCCCUCAACAUCUACGGUUGAUGAUGAUGAUGUUUUGGGACCAUUACCUGCUGGAUGGGAAAAACGUAAACAGCCAGAAGGAAGGGUUUACUAUGUAAAUCAUAAAAAUCGUACUACACAAUGGGAGGAUCCAAGAACUCAAGGGCAAGAAACUGGAAUCGAUGAACCGCCAUUACCAGAUGGCUGGGAAGUCCGAUUGACUGAAGAUGGAGUUCGGUACUUUGUAGAUCACAAUACAAGAACAACUACAUUUCAGGAUCCAAGACCUGGUGCACCUAAAGGUCCCAAAGGCAUUUACCGUGUACCGAGAGCAUAUGAAAGAUCAUUCCGAUGGAAGUUAUCGCAAUUUCGUUUUUUAUGCCAAACUAAUGCAGUGCCAAACCAUAUGAAAAUUAGUGUUAAUCGACAAACGUUGUUCGAAGAUUCCUAUCAUCAAAUAAUGAAUGCUGAAGCUUUCGCACUAAGACGUAGAUUAUAUAUAAUAUUUAAAGGUGAAGAGGGACUGGAUUACGGAGGUGUAUCUAGAGAGUGGUUCUUCUUAUUGAGUCACGAAGUAUUGAAUCCAAUGUACUGCCUAUUUGAAUACGCUAAUAAAAGUAAUUACAGUUUACAAAUCAAUCCAGCAUCUUAUGUCAAUCCUGAUCACUUACAGUAUUUCAAAUUUAUUGGAAGGUUUAUAGCAAUGGCUCUGUAUCAUGGACGAUUUAUUUACAGUGGAUUUACUAUGCCGUUUUACAAACGUAUGUUAAACAAAAAAUUAAUUAUGAAAGAUAUAGAAUCUAUCGAUCCUGAAUUCUACAAAUCUCUUGUAUGGAUAAAAGAAAAUAAUAUUGAUGAAUGUGGCCUUGAAUUAUAUUAUAGCGUUGAUUUUGAAAUUCUUGGUCAAGUAAUACAUCAUGAAUUAAAAGAAGGUGGUGAUAAAAUUAGGGUUAUUGAAGAUAAUAAAGAAGACUAUAUUAGGUUGAUGACUGAAUGGAGAAUGACAAGAGGUAUCGAGGACCAAACAAAAGCAUUUUUGGAAGGUUUUAAUUCAGUUGUACCAUUAGAAUGGUUAAAAUAUUUUGAUGAACGUGAAUUGGAACUUAUGCUUUGCGGUAUGCAGGAAAUAGAUGUAGAAGACUGGCAACGUAAUACAAUUUAUAGGCAUUACACGCGAAAUAGCAAACAAAUCUUAUGGUUUUGGCAGUUUGUGACAAGAACAGAUAGUGAAAAACGAGCUCGACUUCUACAAUUUGUAACAGGUACUUGUCGGGUACCUGUCGGAGGAUUUGCAGAAUUAAUGGGGAGUAACGGUCCUCAAAGAUUUUGUAUAGAAAAAGUAGGAAAAGAUACAUGGUUACCUAGAUCGCAUACAUGCUUCAAUAGAUUAGAUUUGCCACCAUAUAAAAGUUAUGAGCAGUUAGUAGAAAAGUUAAGUUACGCAAUCGAAGAAACAGAAGGUUUUGGUCAGGAAUAAUUAUACAUAUACUUUACUAAAUGUAACAUGCAACUGUGUAUAGGGUGGUCGAAACGAACUGGAUAUAGUAAUACAAGCAACUGAUAUGUUAAUAAACUGUAAAUUACAAUUUUUUAACUAUUUACAUUUAUUGAUGCUUUCUACAAUAUGUUAAUGACACUGAACAAAUAUUGAAAGGUUUGAAAAUUUGUACAUAUUGAGCUAUGAAUAUGUUGUAUAUUAUAUGAAUAAAAAUUAACAAUUUCA
rnacentral:misc_RNA from 1 species